rnacentral:rRNA from 1 species
UACGGGGGGGGCAAGCGUUGUUCGGAAUUACUGGGCGUAAAGGGCCAGUAGGCGGCCAACUAAGUCGGAUGUGAAAUCCCCAGGCUUAACCUGGGAACUGCAUCCGAUACUGGAUGGCUUGAAUUCGGGAGAGGGAUGCAGAAUUCCAGGUGUAGCGGUGAAAUGCGUAGAUAUCUGGAGGAAUACCGACGGCGAAGGCAGCGCCCUGGACGAGACCUGACGCUCAGGCACGAAAGCUGGGGGAGCAAACAGG